ensembl:lncRNA
GAGGAAAGCUGGAGAAACCAAAGCCACUAUGGAGGAAAGGGACCAUGGGGUCAGGCUGGGCCUUUCUAACAAACGGGCUAGAGGCUCAGUUCUUGGAUGUCUGACUGGAGGCAAGGACUGCAGUUCAGGGAAAGGAAAUCGAAUUUAUGGAGUACACCACUGGGGCAGUGGGCUAUGCAGGAGCAAAGGCACCGCCUGCAGCAUUAGUGAAAAGCGUCUUUAUAAAGCCUCACGAACCUUCACCUCCAAUUGAUCCACAUCAAACUGGUCGUUAUCGUCUGACCAGCUCGCCCCCAAAUACAAGGCUUUUUCCUAAGUUGUCAUGUUUGCAGGGAACUAGGAACAAACACCCUUUGACAAGCGGGGGUCGCAUUGUAAGGCUCCUCAUCCAGCAGAGCGAGGGCUGUGUGUGCCCGAGCUGCCUGCCACAGUCUUCCCAACACACACGGCUGGAGAACAGGGGACUGUGGACACAGUGGAUUCUGAAGUGGGGUUACCGGCAGCUUUCAGCAUUGAGGACUGGAGCUGGGCAAGCUUCUGACCCACGUUGGAGAGGGUGGAACCCCGGGAGGAGUGGGCGUCCCUGGAUGUCACCCAGUGUUCAUGCAGAGGCCGUGCACCAGAUUUCACCCAAAAUACGCCAGUAGCUCUAUGACCACCAUCACCAUCACCACAGACUAUUUCUAUGGGCCAGCUUGGCAAGCUAUGGUGCCUGUCUUGGUUAGGGUUUGCACUGCUGUGAAGAGACACCAUGACCAAGGCAACUCUUAUAAGGUCUACUUUAAUAGGGGCUGGCUUACCAGUUCAGAGGUUCAGUCCAUUAUCAUCAAGGCAGGAGCAUGGCAGAGUCCAGGCAGGCCUGGGGCAGGAGGAGCUGAGAGCUCUGCAUCGUCAUCUGAAGGCCAUUAGGAGAAGACUGGCUCCCACGUGGUUAGGAGGAAGGUCUUAAAGCCCACCCUCACAGUGACAUACUUCCUCCACCAAGGCCACACCCACUCCAACAAGGCCACACCUCCUAAUAGUGCUACUCCCCGGGCUACUUCCUGAGCCAACCACCACAGUGCCCACCCGUGGAAUCAGACACCACUCCUGAUGGCGCUGAGGAGUUGCACAAGGCAGAUGACCUCCAUGCCGAUGUCACAUCCACCAGCAAGAUCCUUACCCUUAAUCCCUCCCUCUGCAUCCUUUUGGUUUGGUGUCUUUGGAGAACCCAUUGCCAUUCCUGGUUCACAGAGGACGGUGAUACCGGUACAGUUAAAGGACUGCCACCUCAGUUAAAGUCACCCACUUGAGAUAAAAAGAGUUGAGAUUUAUACCCAG